rnacentral:rRNA from 1 species
GCUGGCGGCGCGUUUUAAGCAUGCAAGUCGAACGGUAGUAGAGUGCUUGCACUCUAUGAGAGUGGCGAACGGGUGAGUAACACGUAGGUGAUCUAUCUUUGGGUCUGGGAUAGCCUGUGGAAACACAGGGUAAUACCGGAUACGACCUUAUGGGUAAGUCCAUAAGGGGAAAGUCGCUUAGGCGACGCCCUUAAGCUGAGCCUGCGGCUCAUUAGUUAGUUGGUGGGGUAACGGCCUACCAAGGCGACGAUGAGUAGCCGGCCUGAGAGGGUGAUCGGCCACACUGGGACUGAGACACGGCCCAGACUCCUACGGGAGGCAGCAGCUAAGAAUCUUCCGCAAUGGGGGCAACCCUGACGGAGCGACGCCGCGUGAACGAUGAAGGCCGGAAGGUUGUAAAGUUCUUUUCCUGGGGGAGAAUAAUACCUGGAGGGAAUGCCAGGUAGAUGACGUGAACCAGGGAAUAAGCCCCGGCUAAUUACGUGCCAGCAGCCGCGGUAACACGUAAGGGGCGAGCGUUGUUCGGAUUUAUUGGGCGUAAAGGGCGUGUAGGCGGUAAGAUAAGUCCGGUGUGAAAGAUCCCGGCUCAACCGGGGAAGCGCGCUGGAAACUGUGUUACUUGAGUGAUGGAGGGGGAACUGGAAUUCCUGGUGUAGGGGUGAAAUCUGUAGAGAUCA